CAGUCGCCGCGGGAAAACGUAUGACACAAGCGUUAUCCGGAUUUAUUGGGCGUAAAGCGCGUCUAGGUGGUUAUGUAAGUCUGAUGUGAAAAUGCAGGGCUCAACUCUGUAUUGCGUUGGAAACUGUGUAACUAGAGUACUGGAGAGGUAAGCGGAACUACAAGUGUAGAGGUGAAAUUCGUAGAUAUUUGUAGGAAUGCCGAUGGGGAAGCCAGCUUACUGGACAGAUACUGACGCUAAAGCGCGAAAGCGUGGGUAGCAAACAGGAUUAGAUACCCGUGUAGUCCCUGUCUCUUAUACA
rnacentral:rRNA from 1 species